CCCUGCACAAGGGUAAUAGCCCUCAUUCGGAUCUGAUCGCUAGCAGGCUACUUUUAGCACUGCUGCGAUCAGGUAGUCGCCGCCUACAGGGGAGGGGGAAUCGCUGUGCAGGGCUGCGCUCGCUUGUGCAGAGAGCUGCACAAACAAAAGAUUCUGGACAGCUCAGGACUUACCUGCUGCGAUCAUCCAGGACGGAGCUGAUGUCAGAAUCCCUCCCUGGAAACGGCUGGGCACGCCUGCGUUCGGACGGACACUCCCUGAAAAUGGUAUCUCUGAUCCAGCCAUUGAUACAAGGCAAGUGGCAGAAGACCUCAGUGGUAGAAGUGGGAGAACUGCAGCCACUGCACAGAGAUGACAGCAGCAGAGCUGACAAGCUGGAGAUGGAUAUUGAGGAGCUGCAGAUACAAUUGGCCGAACUCCGCCAAGAAUCGAAACAGCUGUAUAAUGCCAUUUCUAUUCUGAGUGACCAAUUUAAAGGCUAUUCUGUUCUGCCAUGUAAUAGUGUGACAUAUAUACUCUGGUAGUAACUCAUUUAUCUAAGUGUAAAUCUAUAAAAACUUUAUCAACCGGCUCACCCCCCCUUUGGUCUUCAACAUAAUGGCCACAAUCAGGGAUAAAGCAGUGACAUAGCAGCAGAAUCCCACUCAUUUCCCUUAUGUUAUCACACACAUAUAACCAAUACAAAACCAAUACCCAAGGCCUUGCAACAGACUGACCUCACAUUCUUCUGCCAUGCUCAAACCUCCAACACCUGGGAUUGGUGUGCGUGCCUCUGGAACACAGUCCGUAUACUCUUCCAGAGAGUAGGCCAUAUGUUCUGCAGAAUGAGGCUGACUGCUCCCAGGAGCCCUGGCACUGAUGCCUCCCCCCUCAGUGCUGAGGAGAUGCCGAUAACUGUAUAUGAGGAGUUACCUGUGCACAUGCAAUUUUCUAGUAUUUACAGUCACAUGACCGCAUCCCGUUUAGGAGACCCAUUUGUGAAGAGCAGAGACUGGUGGCUACAUUAUGGUUUUUGGCUACCGGAAGGACACUGGCUAAUCCACGGUACAGUACAGCUACAGUAUAUCAUCUCAGGCUUAGGGAGAGAUAAUACCUGUGAGGCCAUCACUCAAGUUCUUCAGGAGUAAUACAUGAUGGUAAAUCCAAAGUUAAUACACAUAAUUCAAUAAAAAUUAUUUUGAUUUACAUAACAAGUAUAUAACCAAACACAUUUAUAUAUUAAAACAAUAAAAAGUAAAUAAAUAUAAAUAUUAACGUAUAGAAAAUAAA